CNGAAUUGCUGGGUGCUAUGACAGGUUAUU
rnacentral:piRNA from 1 species